GCGCACCAGUCGAGAAACCUCCGCAAUGCGCGAAAGCGCGACGGGGCCACCCCGAGUGCCGCCCGCUGAGGGCGGCUUUUCCCCGGUGUAGACAGCCGGGGGAAUAAGGGGAGGGCAAGUCUGGUGUCAGCCGCCGCGGUAAUACCAGCUCCCCGAGUCGGUGGGGACGAUUAUUGGGCCUAAAAGCGUCCGUAGCCGGCCCGGCGAAGCCUCCCGUUAAAUCCAGCGAUCUAAUCGCUGGACUGCGGGAGAUACUGUCGGGCUAGGGGGCGGGAGA
rnacentral:rRNA from 1 species